rnacentral:rRNA from 1 species
GACGAACGCUGGCGGCGUGCUUAACACAUGCAAGUCGAACGGAAAGGCCCUGCUUUUGUGGGGUGCUCGAGUGGCGAACGGGUGAGUAACACGUGAGUAACCUGCCCUUGACUUUGUGAUAACUUCAGGAAACUGCGGCUAAUACAGGAUAGGAGCUCCUGCUGCAUGGUGGGGGUUGGAAAGUUUCGGCGGUUGGGGAUGUACUCGCGGCUUAUCAGCUUGUUGGUGGGGUAGUGGCUUACCAAGGCUUUGACGGGUAGCCGGCCUGAGAGGGUGACCGGCGACAUUGGGACUAAGAUACGGCCCAGACUGCAACGGGAGGCAGCAGUGGGGAAUAUUGCACAAUGAGCGGGAGCCUGAUGCAGCAGCGCCGCGUGCGGGAAGACGGCCUACGGGUUGUGAACCGCUUUCGCCUGUGACGAAGCGUGAGUGACGGUAAUGGGUAAAGAAGCACCGGCUAACUACGUG